rnacentral:rRNA from 1 species
GAACGGCUACCACAUCCAAGGAAGGCAGCAGGCACGCAAAUUACCCACUCCCGGCACGGGGAGGUAGUGACAAAAAAUAACGAUACGGGACUCAUCCGAGGCCCCGUAAUCGGAAUGAGUACACUUUAAAUCCUUUAACAAGGAUCCAUUGGAGGGCAAGUCUGGUGCCAGCAGCCGCGGUAAUUCCAGCUCCAAUAGCGUAUAUUAAAGUUGUUGCGGUUAAAAAGCUCGUAGUUGGUUCUGUGUGCCACGCUGUCGGUUCACCGCCUGCCGGUGCAACUGGCAUGCUGUGGGAUGUCUUGCCGGAGGAAGCGUAGGCUCUCUGUUCUGCCCCCAGGGGAAGCGCAGUUGGGUUUUGCUUCCGCUCGGUGCCACGGUGCUCUUUAUCGAGUGUCGGGGCAUGCCGACAAGUUUACCUUUAUUAAAUUAGAGUGCUUAAAGCAGGCUAAAGUCUGCCUAAAUAGUAGUGCAUGGAAUAAUAGAAUAAGACCUUGAUUCUAUUUUGUUGGUUUUAAGAAUACAAGGUAAUGAUCAAUAGGGACAGUCGGGGGCAUUCGUAUUGCGGCGUUAGACUUGGCAAAUGCUUUCGCGGUGAAAUUCUUGGAUCGUCGCAAGACGGACUAAAGCGAAAGCAUUUGCCAAGUAUGUCUUUUUUGAUCAAGAACGAAAGUUAGAGGUUCGAAGGCGAUCAGAUACCGCCCUAGUUCUAACCAUAAACGAUGUCAACCAGCAAUCCGCCAAUGUUCCUCCGAUGACUCGGCGGGCAACUUCCCGGGAAACUAAAGUUUUUGGGUUCUGGGGGAAGUAUGGUUGCAAAGCUGAAACUUAAAGGAAUUGACGGAAGGGCACCACCAGGAGUGGAGCCUGCGGCUUAAUUUGACUCAACACGGGAAACCUCACCAGGCCCAGACAUUGGAAGGAUUGACAGAUUGAUAGCUCUUUCUUGAUUCAGUGGGUAGUGGUGCAUGGCCGUUCUUAGUUGGUGGAACGAUUUGUCUGGUUAAUUCCGAUAACGAACGAGACUCUAGCCUAUUAACUAGUCGUCCAGUAUCCAAGGCUACUGGCGAUAUUAUAUCUUCUU